CUUAAAACAAGACUUUUUCUUGUAGUUUGAUAUGACUGUGUAGAACAAGGUCCAGCUCAGCUCGUUUCUGAAACGUUCUGAAAAGCACUGCCCUGAAAUGACUUGUUUAUGAGAAAAGCCAAGGAUCGGUAAUUUAGAAUAAUAUCCGGUGUCAGAGUAUGACGCACGCAAGUGGGAACCCGUCUGUUUACUGUACUUGGUAAUUGCAGUUACUGGAAUAGAAUUCUCUGUUGGAUACCAUGUUAUGCCAUCUAAAAGUAACCUGGAAAUGAAUAGAACGAUUUUAAAUCUCUGCCCAUAUUUGGAGACGCUCGUUUUUGACUCAGGGAUGAUCUGCGAGUCUUUGUGGUUUCUUGAGUGUGGGGUGAGUGUGGGGCAGUUAAACAAUGGGAAAUGACCAGCCUGCUUUGCGCGCACUGUUUGCCUGCGAAUCGGGCCUUUCAGAACCGACUGCAGCACGCGUUCGUUCUUUUGAUUUGGCAUGAUGAAGCACGACAAAUGAGUGAAAUGGCAAAAUUCGCACGGUGCCCGGUUUGCAAAAACAACUGCAAACUGCUCUAAUUCUUUCUGUCACUUUCAUUUGAUCUUAUCCGUGAGUCGGCCUCAACGGCCUUUGAUUUUUAAUAGGACAAAGAGCACAGCUUAAUAAGGUGCGAUGUUCUUCUUCUGACGGAUGAUUUUAUAGAUGUUCAAACCUUGUAGGCAGGGACGUAGCGACCGGGGGAUGUGGGGGUGUACCCCCCCCGUUUACGAAUUUGCUUUAGAAAACGCUUUUAUCUACUAAAAGCCUGUAUAGUUUGUCCCCGAGAAGGACAUCUCUUAUUGGCACAGUGUUCCUACCAUGGGCCUUUAGGUGACUUCUAGAAGGUUACAGACAAAAACAUUGUAUUUUCCCACGUGAAACUGAAAUGUUUGCAACCAUUCAACCAAUCAGCGUGAAACUAGUUGACGUCAUUUGCCGAUUAAACUCAAGCCAGUAUAAACAAAGAACAUAUCACGCGGAUGUUGUAAGCUUAAUACUGGGCUGCUUGAAUUAACUAGCCAAUGAGAACCCACAGUUUCGGUACGUGACCUUGGCCAAAACGAUGUGCGGUGAAAAUCGAAGCUUAUGUCACAAGCUUUAAGUACUGCAUUCCUUUUUUUUGUGUUUUGCCUCCUUUAUUCAUGCUUGUACUUAGCAAGGCUUUUCUGUACUGUACACAUAUCGUUAUUGAUGAAAAGAUUAUCAAAAAGAAAAACCAGUAGAUUUAUAUUUUGCACUCAAAGACAUUGAAGUAUCCACCCAAUUCAAAUUGAAUUUUUCUGCAAUGAAUACCGUAGAUUAUGCAAAUGUAUUUGUUUUAGAUUUAGUUUGUGGGUAGCACCACGUAUGUUUGUUUGUAUUGUCUGAUCUUCAUUAGUGCUUAUGAUAUUAAGGCUUUGUUCAAAUUCGCACGUCCUUCAAAACGAAAAGUGUCGUGAUCUAUUUCUGUGUGUGAAUUGGAAACAAAGCCUCGAGCACAGAUGAAGAUCCGGGCUUACGGAUCGAGAGCUUUGCAAUAAUAAAUGCAUGCGGUGUUAUCCACAAACCAAAACAAAUAUUAUAUUAUUGCCAUGACAACUUAUUAUGCAAAUGAACCUCUUCUACUCAUUGAACUAUAAAUAAACUGGAAGGCUAACUGCUAUAUGAUGAAGGCCUAUGAUUUGAUGAAGCCAAAAUAGUUUUUCUGAGUUAUGAGCAGAAAUACUUGACCCCAAACGUUGGGCUAUAUAUCAAAUUGAAGCUAUUGAAAAUUGCUAUUCGGUGUGGAAAUUUCAAGACUUCAGCGAAAAGAAAAAUAUUUAAAAAAUACAAAAACAACUGCAAAACGGCAAAUUAUCGGUAAUUAUGUUUGUAGUUUUUCAAUAUUUCCCUUUUAGCUAAAGUCUUGAAAUUUCUACACCAAAUAGCGUUUUUCAAUAGCUUCAAUUUGAUAUAUAGCCCAACGUUCAGUGUUGAGUAUUUCUGCUCAUAACUCAGAAAAACUAAAAUGCACUGGCUUCAAUUUCCCCCCCUGAGUUAGCCUUCCAGUUUAUUUAUAGUUCAAUGCUUCUACUACGUCAGAAUUUCUACCAAUAUGGCUGCCAUUGACGUCAUCUUUCUUUGCAUAGCAGAUGCACUACUAUUCAUUGCUAGUUUCAGGAUCAAUGGUGCAUAUGGCAUACGUCUAGCGCUAAAAAGUGGAGAUAACAUCAAACUAGGCUUUCAUCGCGUGCCAGUUGAUACUGCAUUUCUCCGGACGCAAACAAAGCAUGAAAAGAAUGAAUUGAAUUUCCUUUUGUUCUUCCCUGCUUUCCUGUAAUCUAAUCUUGUGCUAAUAUGAAGCUUAUGUCACAUUCUUUAUGUUCAUAUGUCUUUGAUUACCCCAAUGAAUAUUAGCAAUAAAUAUGUUUGGACACCUCAUUCGACAUUUGUAAAUUUUACCGUGAUUUACCCAAAAACAUAUACCUUAAUACACUGGCAUCCCCUUACGUGAACUUGGGGUUAAUACUCGAUAACUGGCCUCUGUAGCUCAGUUGGUUAGAGCUCGACAAUUGGCCUCUGUAGCUCAGUUGGUUCGAGCACUGCACCGGAAUCGCAAGGCAGCAGGUUCGACUCCUGCUAGAGGACCUAUAGUUGCAUUUUUGGCAACUGCUCCUGGCUCGGACCAAGUCAUGAGAAAGCAACCUGGACAAUUACACUACAUUAUUAUUCAGUUCACUCCCCAUUUGGGCUUUUCAGUGACCGAUUACAUCAUGUAUUACGAUUACUUAUGUUAUUUACUUAGCCUAGACUAAUAUUACUAUUAUAAUAUUACUUUUCUAACUGUGGUUAUCCUCAUCCCACCUCAUUCCCAAAAGCCUAACAUGGGAAAAUAAGCGCACGAAUACACAAAUACAGUGAGACAUACGAUGUACAGUAAAAUUCUGGAUAUAACAACCCGAGGGGCAUUUCACUCCAAAAAUCCCGUACACUUCGUCAAAAAAUCCGGAAAAAAUCCGAACAAAUCCGGAAAAUCCAACAGAUUUUCUCUUCAAAAAUCCGCUAAAAAAUCCGCGGAUUUUUAAAAAUCCAAAAAUCCCGUACGCUUCGUCAAAAAAUCUGGAAAAAAUCGGAACAAAUCUGGAAAAUCCACACAAAUCCGGAAAAUCCAACAGAUUUUCUCUUCAAAAAUCCGCUAAAAAAUCCGCGGAUUUUUAAAAAUCCGAAAAUCCCGUACGCUUUUUUGGAGUGAAAUGCCCCUCGUAACAACCCAGCAGAUGAAACUUGACAAUUAGACACCAAUUUUUAUCAGAACCACUUCAAACUGAAAUUUGGAAAGGAUUCUAAUCAUAGUUAUAUAUGGAAGUGUACAGUGAGACAGGCCGCAUUUUCAAAAAGGCCUUGGGAACGAGAGACAGUGUACUUGUACCUGAUUUUUAUAGAGUUCAGACAUUCGCCAAAUACAACUUGAUAUUCUGGGGCCGAUUGUACAAAACGGUAAUUAAAGUUAACCACAGUGCGAAAGUCAAGUAAUCAAAAUCGCGUAUUUUAGAGUUAACUACUAUUUAACUACAAAACGGUGGUCAAAAAGUAGUUAUGAGUUUUAUCAUGGAAGCCCGGCAAACUUCAAAGCCACAAAAUAGGAGAGCUUUGUUUGAUAUUGAACUGUAUACCUCACCAUGCACAGAUCCACAAACGAUUUUACUGUGCACGUUUUCCAAUUACCCCAUCUAGGGCAGAACAAAUAAAAGAAACUUCCAAACAAAAUUCUUCCUGUUUUUGUCAUGUCUUGCGCAAACAUAACUUAAAAGAAAAGGCAAAACUAUGACAAAAAUGCCUGUAUGCUGCAUUGUAAACUUCGACACAAGUAUAAAAUCAUUUUUGUAAUGAAGAUAUCGUGCUUAAAUAAGAUUAAAUAAUAACAAGCAAAAGCUGCAGGUAAUUCAAAAGAACAUUUUUUUCUACAUAAUUUCAAAAGUCUCAGGGUUUCAGCCGUGUUUCGUUCUAGUCUCGCCUGUGGUUGCGUCUCUAGGCCGAACCAGGGGAGGGAGAAAGGCAAGACACAAUCAAAGACUGCAGACGGGGCAAAACUGUUUAGACAAAAGCGCAGACUUCAGUCAUGAGCUGCAUGCAUGCGCAAAACAAAUGCUAAUUCAAAACAUGGUCUAUCAAGAUGGUCUGGAAAUUGAACAUAAAGUCUGAUUGAGUUUAUGUUAAUUUGUGCACGGUGAUUGAGCUUAUUUCAUGUAUUUUCGUACAACCACGUCCAAUAGGGAUAGCUGAGAUGAAACGUGCAACCACGAUGAAUAAUAUUUAAUGAAGUUGAGACAAAGGAUUUGGGCAUGGUGAGGUAUAGUUGAACAUCAAACAAAGGUCUUCUAUAGUUUUCUAUUUUGUAGCUUUGAAGUUUGACAGGCUUCCAAACCAUCACAUCUUGACAGACUAUAGUCUAUAUGCAAAAGAAAUCAGGUGGCGUGUGAUAUGGUUAUGCCUGAUACUGUGAUAGUGCGGUAAAAAUAUAUAUUGGAUUGUAGCAAUGCCAUUCUUGGAACGAACGAAUUCACUAUUCCAAGAUGUUGCAAUUUGUCUACGGUAUUUCGAGGAGAAAAAAUUGAGGUGAAACAUCGAUACAUCCAUCACUCCAUCAGUCCAUGAGAAGACUUUUACGAUAAUCUAGCUUAUGGCAUUUUUUCCAUAUAAAAUCCAUCUUCGUUUAACCAUGAAUCCGCGUCGGUAAAAUUCUUGGCAAGAAAAAUAUUUUAUUAAUUAUUCUCGCUUCUUCCGAAGUCUGUUUAUAUUUAUUUCCCAUGGCAUGCGUUAAUUCAUUUCGCUGUGAGAUUUUCACAUUCGCUAAGUGUUUGUGGAAUAAAUACCCUAUAUACCCUCCAAUUUUCUAGCUACAAAUGAAUGCAUUUCAAUGACAAAAUAUACUGCUGAUGAUAUAAUACAACUAAUACAGUCGAACGACAAACAGCAGACAAAGCGGGAAAAUUUUACAUUGUAGAACAAUAAAGAUAGAAUGGACCAGAAUUGUGUUCAAACAGAAGUGAAAAUGAUUUUUUUGACAUGUAGGCUAUAAGAAAGAAAAUAUGAAGAAACAAAGGAAAAUGCAAAUGCUGCCACAAAAUCUGGUCUGGCGUUUGUCUUUGCUUUCAAACGUGAAGUUUCAACUCCCGAAUGUGAGUUCCAUGGACGCGCUUGUCUACCUUGUGAUACAUGGAGGAACCGAACGAAUAAUUCAUCUCAUGUCGUUUGGAAUUUGUGCGCUUUUCCGGUGUGUCAUAUCAGUACAAACUUUACAUUCAGUUUAGCCGGCUAUACCGCUAAUUUCCAAACCGGGUGUGAAUUUAUAAAGGACCUCUUUAGACGUGUUUAGAUCACUUACUUGAGCGUGCCAUUCAACGCUUAGAAUCAUGCUUGUUGUUAAAUAUUUCAACUAUAAGUCUAUGAAUAUAUAUAUAGUCGGUUAAAGCCUUGCGCAAGUUAUGUGGAAUACACCUUUAAUUAAAAGUUAUCGUUCGUAAGGUCAUUCUGUUUAUAAGGUUUCUUUUUUUUUAAAAAUUGAGAGUCUAUAUUAGAGUCCACUCGACUCAUUAUACCGUGCAUGAUGGCGCAAUGUCGCAAAAUAGGUUCAUGAAACAUUUCGUACAUUGAAUCACGUGAUUGAAUUGGGGGGCUUCGUAGUUUAUAAAAUAUCGGUAGUGAUGUAGUAUUAAUACAAAACAAGUCUAAUUUGUCAGGCUGAUAAAACCAGUUAAUUGCAUGUAUAAAACGAUACAAAAACCGGAAAAAAUAGCUUAUGCCUUAUGCUUAGAGAUGCUUCUUUCAAUGCGCAUGCAGCAGCUAAUUUGUACUGCAGCGAUUAUAUUAUUAAUACCGACCGCGCAAUGCGCUUCAUACAACAGAAAAACUACCAGAUGCAAAUAUAUGUAUGUGUAUGUCUCCAUGUAUGUUCAUCCAAACAAGCCAUUGUAGCCUGCGUUGCCGGCGUUUUAUAAGCCAUUGUUUUCCCAGACACUAUUGAUAACACUAUUCUUCGAAUUUCUAGAAAGAUCAUCUUGCGACCAUUGCCCGCUACCAUCAGGCAAUAUAUAUAGGUUUGAACAAUCUGUGCCAGUGUAGGUAGUGGCAAUAAUAAUAAGAAAGCUUCGAAUUCAUAUAGGAUAUACAACUACCUGAAAAAUACAAGGAGAACUUCGACAUUUCAAGAAGGCCCUUCGCCAGGAAGUUAGAAAGCUAUUAAUUUCCCGACAAGGGCCUUCGCUCGAAACGUCGAAAUUCUCCUUGUAUUUUUCAGGUAGUUGUAUCCGAAGCUUUCUUCUCAAUAUAUAUAUAGUUCCAUCUUUCGUACAUUUGUACAUCAAUCGAUACAUUUUUCGUUUAAAACGAAAAAAAACCCCGUUUGAUAGCCCAUCAACUAUGAAAUAUUCCGCAUGCCUUGCGUAAUAAAUUUUGAAGUCUUAAUACUCGCCGUCUGAUGUUGGAAUCAGUUAUUAUUAAAGCCAGCGUUUUUCGUUCAACAUUCUAACGUUUGUUGGAGUUUUAUUUGAUGACAUGCAUACAAUGCAAAUACAAUAUUAUAAUACUGGUGACGAAUGGCACACCACACAAUUAAAACCAAUUACUGUGGGCCCUUUUAACAUAUAAGUUACAUACGAAUGUUUGUAUCGACAAGGGUUACAAUUUAAACAUACAGAUUUAUAGUUGUACAUGUAGAUUCUGUUUAUUUGUAUUUUUCUACAUGCUCAAAUUUGCGCAACUAUUUGCUAUUAACGUCGCUUGAAUAUCACAACGAAUUCACGCGCUUGUUAUUUAUAAUUUAAUGCAUUUCAACUUGAAAAUAAUGCUGCGAUAAACAUCAAAAUGUCGUUCGUUUAUUCAAUUUGAUAUUGCUUACAUUUAUGUCGAAAUUUAUUUCAAGACCUUUGUUAAAUAGAAUUCAAAAUUCAAAUAAUCCUAGGUGUAAGCCUGCUAGGCCAAGUCAAAUAUACUCUAUAAAAUAGAAUGGCAGUAUUGUAAGCCAGCAGUUAUAUAGUCCGUUCUGAGAUGAAUAUGCAUCAAGCUUGUAACUUACCAAAUCAGUUAAAUGCGAAUGGAUUCUCCCACCAAACACCAGUCGCGGAAAAUAUGUAAAUUAAGACGGUCAUUCGAUGAACUCGCGAAAUGCGCCUAUCGAUCAUGCUCGAGUACUUUAUAUACGACCUGCAUGUGUGCAAUCUCGUACCCAGUGCCACUUGAUAGGAAAUGAGAUGUUGACCGAGUGCCCGGAUAUUGACCCAAAUUAUAUUUUUGGAGUGGGAGAGGCAUAAAAUCAUACUCUUCAUGUAUGUCUUUGUAGAGAGAAGUUCAGAUUCGACGUCCACCGCUAACUGUCACUGUGGAAGUCAAAAUCUGAAUCUCUCUUACACAGCGUCUAUAAGGAAAGAACUGGUAGAGAUACCCACUUGAAAUCUCAAAUUUUAAUUUCUAACCUGCGAACGGGCAUAUUCUGCCUCACGGGAUUAUUAUUUCAUUACUUUGCCCACCUUAGACUGCCUUAGCUCGCAUUAGCCCACCUUAAUUAGCUCAUCCUCUCUGAAAUUUCAAGUGAAUUUUUCAAUUUUAUUGCAGCUCAAGGACAGUUGCUUUUAGCUGACAAUGAACCAACCGUACCCAGGCUCUUUCCACUGGUGAAAAUGUCUUGUAAAACAAAACAUCCAAACUGGUAGGUUAUGUUCCUAUUUAUGAGUAUUAGUUAGUGAGUCUGGAGGCGUGCAUUUCAGGUGUUAUAGAUUACUGAGUGAGCUGGGUAUAUGUCGGGCUCCACCCACUACGUGCAUAUACCGUAUUUACUCGUUUGAGCGCUUUAAAUUUUCAGAGCUUCAGAUGCGGCGCUCAUUCGGGGGCGGCGCUCUUUAAAAAAAUCUUUUAGUUGUGAAUUAUAACAAGAAUUUUAACAAUGAAACACACAAAUUUCAAAUGUCUUUGUUACUAAAUGUCUCCAUUUUGACGGCGGAAAGUUUUUACACUGUUUGGUGCGGUGCUUAUUAGGGGGCGGCGCUCUUUAAAAAAAAUUAAAUUGAUCUAAAAUGCGGAGCUCAUUCGGGGGCGGCGCUCAAUCGAGUAAAUACGGUACUGCGAAGUUAAUUGCGCAAGCAAGUUUACUAACUAAACAAAGCUUCAUUGAUAUACUGGAGAGUAUAAAUACCAGUAUAAAUAGCACUCCUUUAAACGCAGUUUCUUCACAAAUGCCUGUCAUGCAGGCUCCAGCUUAUAUAAUAAUUCUAACGCAAAAUAUUCAAAUACAAUAUGCGCUGUACUUGGUCUUGGGCUAUGAUAUGGGCUCCGUCCCCUGACUCACGUACAGGGGCUGAGAAAAUGCUCAGAGGCCUUAAUUCUUGGUUAACAGAAACCUCCAAAUAAAUCUUCCCACUAGCUUAUAAACAUGGAAAUAUUUUUUUGUGUUAAUCCAGCUUUGAACCACUGACCCCAGGGCCAGGAUGCUUCCAUUUCACAGAAAAUAUAAUAUACAGGUUUGUCAGAAAUUCCGGAUCAAUGCAGUGCGAAUGUGCGAUUGCCGGAGGAUUACGAUGUCACCUGACAACUGGUUUUGUCGAACUGGAGGUUUUUAUUAUAAAAACUUUUAAUCUUAUGUUUAAUUUUAGCUUCAAUGUGCUGCAACGCGCAGCUGCAGUCUCGACACGGGGCUGCUCAAAGGUCGAAUAUAGACGUUUGGCUGGUGUAAAUCUAAAAAAGAUGUUUUCUGGCAUAAAUAUUUGCAGACACUGGGUAGCUGUCUCGGUUCUAACAUGUUCCCCGCUAGAGGUCAUUAAUGACAACUCCCCAUUGAUUCAGACUAGUUUAUUUUGAUAGUGGGUCGCUCUGCGAGGGCUGUUCAAAGCGUGCGACAACAAUUUAUUAAUUUCCAUCACACCAUUAAUUACUGGAAUAAAUUCAACUAGAAACCUAUGUGCGGAUCACACUAAACUUGGUAACCGCUUCACGAUGCUUUACUUGCAAGAUUUCGAAAUCACCUGAUAUCUGGGCUGAUUUCUUGAUUGUUGCCGGUUUCAAGAUUUCCAGGUAAUAUCAGUUACAGCAGUCUUGGUAAUUUUCAAUUUCAAAUGUAAAGAUUUGCUGUACCCAAAAAAUGAGUCAAUUUUGAGUCACUGUGGGCUCAAUUUUUACUCAAAUUUUUGAGUCAAAAUUUUCUGAAGUGCCUUAUAGAAGAAAAUGUGUUGAUCAACAAUAGCAUUUUCACUAAGACAAAGGCGACUAUAAAUUCUAGUUUUAUAAUCCCUUGAAUAUUACACGUUUGAAGUAGUUUGGGGUGUUUUAUGCCAAGUCACUGACUGGUACUAGUAUACAAUACUUAUAAGACUCUUUUAAUUUAAAAAGAAACAUAUGUACUUUGAGGAAAGGUCACUGAUGUAUGCUCUGCCUCUGCUAAAAAAAUGUAAGUAAUUUUGUUUUCUACCCUUGACUUUUCGUUUCCCAAACUCACUUAUAUGUUAAUACCGGAGGAAUUUUGUUUUUGACUGAAUUUCUCAAUCAGUGCUGUCUAGAAAUAAAUGUCACACUCUCUUCGGAGUGCCACAAUUAAUUAAUUUGCCUGUAUUCAGUCUGCAGGAUUAAUUAAUAGAACCGGUCAGUAUCCGGCUUAAAUUGCAACUUAUAAAAGAUGUAAUCAAUUUGUCUGCCUAUUGUUAUUAUUGCUAUCAUAAAAGUCAAGCUAAAGUCAUAUACAAGCAGUAGCAGGCCAGCCUUGUUGAUUGAAAGGCAUGUAGACGUUUUCCAUGUACCCAGUAGUUCCUGUCGCGUCGGCAUAUCUGGGAUUUAUGGCAAAUGCCCAAAAUCCCAGGCAAAAAUUAAUUCAUAAAUGCACACAGGAAAUUAAUUAAGACCCAAUUCACACGUGGGAGUCAAGGGAAUUGAUUUUAAUGUCAGGGUGUCCAUGGGCCUUGAAAAUCCUGCAAAGUCCUUGAAUUUGUAAAACACCCAACAAAAUCCAGGCCUGACAAGCCCUUGGAAAUUAGUGCAAGUCGUUGAAAGCGAGGUUGAAAGUGCUGGAAUUGUUUCCAGCUGUGUUGAUAAUACUUGAACAAUAUGUGAACUAUUGAUUUUGAUCGAAUACCAGUGUUUCAAUACGGUAAAAUCCGUGUCGCUAAAAAAGCCCUAUGGCAGCCAAUUGCAAUUUUAAUAAAUUUAGUACUUAGGUUAGAUAUAGUUUAACAAAAGCAUACUGUGGCAAUCAAUUUAGCACUGUCGCUGAAAGCCUUUGAUUAAAGAUUUCAAAAAUCUUCCUUGAUUGUUGAGAGAAAGGAAUGAAAUUCAAACCUGGGUUCAAUCCUUGGUCGGACCUCUACUCAAUCAAAAUUUUAAAACAAUUGAGGAGAAAGUGCUACCUUUACAUUGACAUCAGUAAAUGGUUAGACUUUCGCGUCUUCUCGGAUAAGGACGUUAAAAUCGUAUAGAUACCUCGGAUCCCCUAUCAAUUAUAGCCUGUUGGGAAAUCAUCUCACCAAUAAGUUAGAAACUGAAUAAACUCAAAACUCAAUAAUAUAUAAUUUAAGCCGAGAAUUUUACAAUAAAGUGUUUUCUAUACCUUUAGUUUUUAUGACAAGCCCAGUACUGUUUUCCACACGAUCUUAAUUAGGAUGUUCAAAGUCCACAUUUCGAAUCAACAAAGAGGUUUCAGAUUUCUAGUACGAGAGCUCAUCAUUCCAUCAAGGCAAUUAAAAGUUAUAUUUUGCCUUUAAAUUAGGAAAUAUAUUCCUCUAUAAUUGUACCUGUCUUUAUUUCGCUUCACCGGACGAAAAUGCUGGUACAAAAAUUAUUUAAUGACGGUUCUCUUAACUGUGGCUAUAAGUUAAAGAAAAUAAUGAAUGAACAGUUCGUUACUUUGACAUGCAUAUACUUGGCUUAUUGGUUGUUUAGUAAUAAUGACUUUUUAAUUAAUAUUUAAUAAAAUCUUUAGACAUGGACGGUAGGCUUUCAGUAUAUACAGCCAGAUUUUCAACACAUUUAAGUCUAUCUCCUGUUUGUAUGUUUUGUUUUCGUUGUGUAUUUACCCUGCCGUAUUGACGUUGAUAUACCGGGUGUCUCAAAAAAAAGUAUCGGUGUUUGAUUAACAUAAUGUAAAAACUAUACCAGGUAUGGCUUUCAAAUAAGUUUAUAGUAUGAUGCUUGUGAUGUUACUCUGAGUGUAUAUCCACUCCGGGCAAGCUUGAAAAAUAUGCCUGGCCAAUUCCUACGACCUUUGGACCAACAUUAGGAACAAAAAAAACUUUGUUCCUAAUACGUUUACUACGCUUCCAACGCACAAUGAUUACUAAUACCACCAAUGCGCGGCCAAUCUCUUAUUACAUACUCGCCCGGCCCCCUUUUGGUCACAUGAUGUGCCGACGUAACGAGGCUUGGUUCCCUAGCUGUUAACCUUUGUUAUUGCAUAACCUCAUGAAAAAAAAUAUUAUGAUAACUAGAUUGCAUUGAUAUCGAAGGAACUAGACUCGGUUCCGAAAUAUCACAUACUCGAACCGACCUGACCGCGUAGCUCAGUUGGCAGAGCAUUGGGCUAGUAUUCCAAAGGUCGUAGGUUCGAUUCCCACCGUGGCGAGGCAUAUUUUUCAAGCUUGCCCGGUGUGGAUAUACACUCAGAGUAACAUCACAAGCAUCAUAUUCACCUGAGUACAUUACACCAACAGAAAGUCUUACUGUGGUCUACUGUAUAUCAUCUGAGUUAGAACACAUUUCAUGUGGUGUACCACAGGGAUCAGUCUUGGGUCCACUCUUAUUUCUUCUUUAUAUAAAUGACUUUAAUAAUUGUGUUCCUGAUUUAGACUUUCAUCUUUUUGCAGACGAUUCAAAUCUAUUUCCUUCAGAAAGUAAUAUUCAAAGACUAGAAGCUAAACUUAAUCAUGAACUGAAAAUAUAUGGUUAUGCGCAAACAAAUUAACACUCAAUGUCGAAAAGUUAUUAUUUCAUACACCACAAAAGAAAAUAAACUACUCAACAUAAAGUAAUAUGGGUAUAUACAAGACAAAUAUUCACCCAACAGUAAUUCUUCAAAAGAAAGUAAUACGUAUAAUAACAUUUUCUCAUUAUCGCGAGUCACACACCUCACAAUUUUAAGAGACUUAAGCUCCUGAAAUUUUGUCUUACCUAAUACAACAUUACUUACGCAUAAAUUUAACAACAACAAACUUGCAUAUGAGUUUAUGAACUUUUUUAUCUGUUAGUUGCAAGCAUCAUUAUAUAGUACAAGAAGUUCUGCGAAAUCAUCCUUUUCCCAUUCCCAACCUCGCACUAAUUAUGGAAAGUAUCAGAUUGACGAGUCCAUUAAAUCUCUGAGCGCAUCUUCUUUUAAAAAGAAUUUAAAACAACAGUUAAUUGAUUACUACCAGUUCCGCGUAAUUAGUAUAUGUGUAACAGUCAAUUUCCUUUUUUUUUUGUUUUGUUUUGUCUUGUGUUCUUUUGGUUUCUGUUUUGUUUUGUACUUUGUGUUUUCUUUUGGUUUCUGUUUUGUAUUGUACUUUGUCUUUGUUUUAUUUUUUCGACUUUGUUUUCACCGGCUUCUUGUGACACUCUUUAAAUAAUAGUAUAUUGUAAUAUAUUAAUGACCACCUGUCUCGAUUAGGGACCGGUCAUUAAUAGUGGGACGGGGGGAGGUGGAUAAGAAAAGGAGGGCGGCUUCAACUAUUUUUGUCUGAACUGGGGGCGGCCUCAAAAUGGGAGGUAUGUGUCAAGGGGCAACCCCAAUUUCUUAAUACUUUCCUACUCAUUUUCAAUCUCUCGCCUUUAUCGUAUGCAACAAAAUAGUUCACCAUAGGAAUCCUAUAGUCGUAUCCUAUAGUCACCAUAUAGUUCACCGUAGGAAUCCUAUACCAAUAGUUCACCAUAGGAAUCCUAUAGUCGUAUCCUUUAUCCUAUAGUCGUAGUUUCCACACUUUAUUACGGAUAUGCAGUUCACCAUAGGAAUCGGAGUAAAUAACAACCAUUUUGAAUACUGGUCCUCUAAUUAUUUAGGCUACACAAUGUCUUACACCAGUACUUGUCCCAUUACCUAUUUUACACCAGAAAAUGUAACGAAUUAAAUGUUGGAGUGGGGACUGGGGGGAGUCCUAAAUUUUCUAGAUGAAGGUGGGGGCGUCUUGAAAAUAAAGCUCUUGCGAUCGGGGGCGGCUCUAAAAAUGUCCAAUAUUUGGUAUUUAUCACCCCCCCCCCCCAUUAUAAAUGACCGGUUCCUUAGCCUUCAUGGUUAUAACAGGGGGUCAGCACUUAUAUUUUUGUAAAUAAACUCUAUAAUAAAUAAAAAAUAAUAAUUCCAUGUAACAUAUACAAGUGCAAAAUAUAAUAUAUAAUAAUUGAUAUAAUAUAUUAUAUAAUACCUUAUUAAAUUCUAAUCGUGUAAUUGGCUGUUUAUGGUCACGUGAUAUUGAAUAGAAAAUUCCAUUUCCCAAGAGUGCAAUGGAACACGUUCCAUUGCACUCUCCGCGAGUGCAAUGGAAUAAAACGUAUAGUACAAUUGCACUUGUUGUGUUUUCGAUAAAUCGCAUCCCUUCCAAAUCGCAUUCCAUCUUUCACUCUUCGGUGAAAGAUGGAAUGUUCCAUUCAACUCGGCUGUCGCCUCGUUGAAUGGAACAUUCCAUCUUUCACCUCAUGAAAAUAUUCUUACCAUUGCACUCAUAAACAUUCAUUAUUUGUAUAAUAUAUAAUAUAAAAUAAUAAUAUACUACAGAAAUAUCAUAUAAUUGUAUGGAGCUUGAAUAGGAUAAUAAUAUUAAUUGACAUCAAUACCACUCUUCACAUGCGAUCAAAUUAGUCAUUGCAGAAUGCCGAUCAAAGUUUGAAGCAUGCAGUUCUUAACUUAAGGCUGUCACACACGAGAGCAACUUGCUGAGCUAACCGCCUCGCGUGCAUGGCAGCUAGCUCGGCAAGUUUCUUUUGUGUGCGGAUAGUAUAAGAUGGGAAGUUUCUUAAUUAAACCAAAACCAAAUAAGGUUUAGGGGCGGACCAUUAGAAAUCCCGGGAGGGGGGGGGUAUAAAAUUUUUGCGGCAUGAAUUUUUUUUUCAGUCUCAUAUCUCUGCAGGAAUUUUUUUAAUGCAUUUAACCUCUGCACGAAUUUUGUUUCAAGACUUCUUGAUUUUGACCGACAAGUACCGAAAAUUUUUUUCCGGAAUUUGUUUUGGCGACCUCCCCCCCCCUCCCCCCCCGUCGCCAAAAAUUUUUCGGUCAGUGUACCAUUUUAGGGGUCAAACAUUUUUUCAGGACAUACCACAUACCAAAAGUUACCACAAAAUUGACAGAAUUUAUCAAUUUUUUUUUUUUAAUAAACUAAAAUUGCCCGACUGUUCAGCGAAUAUUGCCCGACUACAAACUGACCGGUACACCCAUGACUUUUCUGUUUGCUUGCACGAAUUUUUUUUCCAGGCAUUUUUCUUUGCACGAAUUUUUCUUUGGGGGAAUUUUCACCCCCCCCCCCUCCCGGGAUUUCUAAUGGUCCGCCCCUUAUGUACAUGGAAUCAGCUAUUGGUAUUUCAACUAUUCAAUGAAUGCCUGUGAUACGUUUGUAUAUGUAGACCUAUGUAUGGCAACAGAGGUAUGGCACCGAAUCGGAUAAGAUUGUCAAUGUAACUGAUCUGUUUUGUGGAAAAACCACGUUUAUAAAGUUAAUAAGAAAUAAAAUGUAAAGCUUGAGUUCAAGAUCUAUUUUUAUGAAGAGAAGGUGAAUCAUAAAAUAGUUAUAUGAAGUGUAUUAAAUAUUGAUUUUUUAAUGCGUCGUGCGUGAGAAGGCUGUUUUUUAUAGGUGCAUAUAACACGCACGCACGGAAAAGCUUAAACCCUUUUAAAUUUUACUUUCGAAAUAACUAUUUGAAUACAAGGACAGGUUUAAUUUUCUGUGUAAUUUAAUUUGUAUUUGUUGAGGUAAUUAGUGCUAAUAUGAAAUUUAGAACGACUUAAAAAAACUUUUCCGUGCGCACACGCACGCAUAUCAGCUGCAAAGCAGCAUUUAUUCUCUUAGUCCAACAUCCUAUUUUUUACAUGGUCACGUCUUUUCAAUUGUGAUAAUAUCAAUGAUAUUACCACGUAAGAAUGGUCUUAUAUGAAUAAUUUCGUCGAUGUUUUAGUCAUGCGCGCAUCGCAAGGCACGCACCAAUUGCUAAUAAUAGAAAAAUGCAACUCUGAGAAUUUCAGAAUUCAGCUAAUUCGCUGAUAUACCCUCGCAUGUAUCUACAUUGGCACCACUCCACUGACUAGUUAACACUGGAAAAAAAUACAAAAAAUUGAAAUUUAUACUAUGGGAUUUGAGCACUAAAUCCGUAGUAUAUCCAUAUUAUUUCCAUACUAUAAUCUAUAUCCAUAUAGUAUGGAAAUUGCAAUAGACCUUUCCCCUUAUUGAGUAAAAUUUUGAUCUAGACAAGUCUGGACAAAAAUUUCAUCACAGCUUGAAAGAGCAUCACAAAAUUAGUAAUAUUCCGAAGUUUUGUUGCGAAAUAUUGUAAAAUGCGGAUAAUUGCGAAGUUUGCCGUUUUUCAGUCAUUUUGUAUUACAAAUGGGAAAUUGAUAAUCAGUUUCAUCAUCUGAUUACUAAUUUCCCGUUUGUAAUACAAAAUGACUGAAUAACGGCAAACUUCGCAAGGCUAUAUUAUCCGUAGUUUACAACAUUUCGCAACGAAACUUCGGAAUAUUACUAAUUUUGUGAUGCUCUUUCAAGCUGAUGAAAUUUUUGUCCAGACUUGUCUAGAUCAAAAUUUCACCCAAAAGGGGAAAGGUCUAUUAGUAUAUAUGAAAUUGGAUUUCCAUAUUAGUUUCCAACGAAGAUCCACGCUAUUUCCAUAGACUAUAGUGAGAAUUUUGCGGAAAAAAAGAUUUCAGUAUAAUUUAAUUUUGCGAGCAAUUAGGCAGUGGUUUCGCCCGUUUUCAAAUGUCUUCACCGACACUGUUUCAAAACAUAACUAUGGCUAUGCACACAAAAGCAUCAAUAUUUAAAGUACAAUUCGAAUGUAAGCCGUGCGUUAGGCCAACCUGGCAACGGGAUGAUUUGUUGCAAGUAAAAUUUGAAUUUAUUUUAAUUAACAAACGGUUAGACCUAAUCAUUACUCGGCUAAUCUAAAAGCCUCAUUUUCCACGCCUAACCCACCAUGCCCAUGGUCGAGGAAACAUGGUGGGUGGAGUCGCAAUAACUUAAAUGAGAAAUGCGGGUCAGGCUGUUGAAACAGCAAGACAAAAAUGCAUUCAAACAUAUAGAUGAUUCUGCAAAGAAAGGUUUACAAUUAUCAAAAACAAGGUAAACAGUAGAGGCAGCCUGAGUCGUAAAUUUAAACGAACGGAAUCGUCCUGGCAUGGUAAUUGCCGUGGCCAUACAGCUGACCCGCACCUGUGUGCAUACGCGGCUAAUUUAAUAUUACAAGUCUUUGAACAAAUGUGGUUUUAAAGCUCUUCAAGGCUUUAAAAUUCUACUAUGACUAUAUUCAAUAUAAUAAUUGUUAGACAACGUUCAGGCAAAUAAGCGUUUUUGGUCCGUUUCAGACGGUUUCAUGCGGCGAACGUUAUCGACGAAUUAGGUAUGACAGAAGAGCGCCGCAUGAAUCAGUUUUAAAAGUAAGGCAGAAUUUGAAGCGACAAACGUUCGACAGAAGUUAGACAGCGCCUGUCGAACUAUGCGAUAAUGGAGCGGCAUUGAUUCAUACGCCACUCAACUCAUGUACCAAACCCAACUCAAUUUUUCGUUACUUGCCAUCUCGUAAUAUUUACUUAUUUCACACCAUUUCUGAGUAACAUGUAAAUGGUCGAUUUAAACUUUUCCGUCGCGUACACGCACGUAUAUGAAAAACGCUUAACUGGAAAGCACCUUUUUGAUCUUUUGUGAAUAUUUAAAAUGUUCUAAUUGACGCAAUAAGGAAAACGAUUAACUGGAAAGCACUUUUUCCAUCAUUUGUGAAUAUUUAAAAUGUUCUAAUUGACGCAUUAAGGAACAGCAUAUUCAUAAUAUAUAACAAGAAUCUAUUUCGCUGGAACAACGGCAGGAAAUUUUGCGCAACCAUGCAUUACAUAUUAAAUGUACCGUACAUUCAGGUGUCUGAACAGCUAUACUCGAAAAAAUAUAAAAGCUAAAACAUUUCGAUGUUUUGAGCGACUUCGAGUAUUAAUCUUUUUCAGGUGGCCCGCUCAAUCAGCUGUAAACCAUGACACAUUAUAUAUGUAUAUACCCCAAAUAUUAUUUUAUUUGGAACAUAUAUGCUUUGUAUUGUAGUUUCUUAAGUUGUCGGCAGAACAUGGUUUAUACUGUACCACAUUUUAAUUACUUGCGCAUGCACUGUUUAAUAUAUAAUCGGUAAAGACCGAUUUGCGCACAUCUCAGACAACCAUGGACAUGUCGGUGACUAUGACUUCAUUAUUCUCGUCCGGUUUUAGCCAUUAGAGACCUUACGUUGUGGGACGGCCGAUGUGACGACGACGGCUAUUCAUGUGAGAUUCAUAAUAUUUAAGAAAAAAAUGAAUACGUCUUGGAUAAAACGCCUGCAUUUGAAGACGCGAGAAGUGAUACUUGGCAAAUUAGCUCAGUACUACAGCAGAACCUUCUGAACAAUAAAGCCACUAUUUCAAGCUAACCAAACAAUAUUAAAUUGAUACGAGCAAAUAAUAGUCCACAAACUUUCUUUACAAUCGUUUAUUUGAAUGAUUUUAUUCUGGUCAUCGUCGUUGGGUUGCCAUCCUAUACAUCGUAUAAAGGUCUGUAGUCUUAAUCCAAGCAGCUGAGAGCUGGUCCACGAAAGGCGCAGAGAAAUAUUUCAUUAGGGUAUUUCCCAGUCAACCUAAAUGCCAUGAUCAGUGCUCUUAUGCAUCCCCGUGUACAGAGUAUAUGUACAAAUCAAAAUAUAUAUGUAUAAGGUGAUUUGUAUAAACAAAUACCGAACACAGAUGGACCACAGCAUUGAGUUGCAAGUGCCGCAACCCCUAGCCUGUGGAUAAGAUGAGCGCACUUGUGAAUACCAUCUGGCUAAUUUGCAUAUGUCACGAGAGAAAUUUACGCAUUCGAUAUAAAGAAUACGAACUCUCGGCAAUUCCUUCUCCAUAUAGCUUUUAUACUUGUUCAGCAUUUAGCGUGAGGCUGUGAGCAUUCAGCAUAAGCAAAGCUAGAUUAAUACCUUAGCCCUAUGGUCGAAAUUCAAUUGAGCAAUGCUUGAAAAAUGACAUUUUUUACAUCACUGAAUCUGCAAAGAUACGUCGCUUUGCUCUGGUUAUCAAGAUAUGCAAAUAUUGAAUGUUAACAUAAACACUACCCAUAGCGCAUCAAUUUGGUAUGUACUAUCAACUGUGGUACUAUAUGUGGGUAAUCUCCGGCGGUCUAAAAUGGCUGCCAUCAAAUCUUUAAAUCUUUACUAACCUUUGAAAACUCUGCUGAUCUCUGCAAGUGCCGACGAUUUUAUGUAAAUAUCCAACCAGUGCGCUAUUGCUUACUCACGUUUUCAAUGUAAUGCAAGUCCUUAGGGCGUUUUUUAAAC